rnacentral:lncRNA from 10 species
GUUUCAUUCAUUUCAAAGCUUCCCAAAUAACCUAGUAACACACUGCACCCAGUAGGCAAUCUGUAAUCACUUGCUGAAUUACAUGCAGCUUUUCUGCCCGUUUCUUUCCAUUUCCUUAAUCAGAAAAUAAAUACUCACUGUGCCAAGUGCCUAUCGGGAAGAGUGAUUUUCAAAGUAGCUGGCCCGCAGGGUUCUGACCUCAACCCUCAGGGUGUGCUUUGCGGAUGGCCGCAGGUCAGAAGCAGGUCCUGGAAGCCUCCUGCUCUCAGAGACUGACCAUCACCUAGGGCUGCUGGGGAGGACCCAGAGCUGCAAGUUGAACAAGGAAGAAUGAAAGCAGGCGCUAAAACGAUUGACAGGCGGAGAGCAUUUGCUCGGUGGAGGACUUGGUCAUGGUUAUUUGGUGCCACAAAACCACACAGAGGAAGAAGCAACGCUGAACGAUUCCAGAUCGAAACAACCUUUGUAAACAACCUUUGUAAAGCUGCUUGGCCACACAUUGAGACCUGCAGCCUUUACCUUGUCCACACGGCUGUCAAGCCCACAGCUGCAAGUACCUGUCUCUGGAAGCAUCCUUUAAACCUACUGCCCCACCUGUCGCUUGCUCCUCACACCCUCUCCAGUGUGCUGGCCGCUGACUGCAGGGGUCGGCAGGAGUCAGGAGAGAACGCCACUGAAGGAGGGAUUCACCAGGGUGCAGACAGUGUCUGCAGAGCCCAGGGCACCCCCACUGGUGCAGGGAGAGCAAGCCGCCCUUUGGCAUGUGUGGUUUUGUGCUGCCGGCAGCCUGCUCCCGAGUCUCCUCAUUGACCUCAGGUCAAAAAGCCUAUUUCCCCCUUUCAACAGAUGGUCUGAGAGAGAUUUGUCCAGGGUUCUGCAAUGUUGCUGGCUUUUUGUGUUCCCACAGCUGCCUGCUUACCCUUGAGUUAUUCUGGGAAGCCGAGUCCUGAGUCCAUGGCAGGACCUUCCCAGGUGGCGACUUCACCUCGCAUGGCCAUCCUGGGUGAAUUGUGCAGUGCUUGAUUCAGAGCUCCCUGUCUACCAUCUGCCCGGUGCAUCGUUUUCCCUCCCACAUCCCCAGCCACAGCCACUGGACCCUCACUGUCCUGGAAGCUUGAGAUGUGGUUAUAAGAAAGUACUGGGCCCUAUUUGGGACCCGAAUGGGAUUCUCUGUAACAUCCCACCCUCCACUCCAGUGCCACCAUCCAGGGAGAUGCAGCAGAAGUCAGGAGGCCCCGUAUCUCAGGGUCUCGUCAAUAUCACUUCCUAGGCUCCCCUUGGGACUGCCAACUGUCAUGGGUUCCUGCUAUGACACCGUUGCCUCCUGUGCCUCAGUGGCCCUCAGCAGCACUCCAGCAUGCCUGAUGGUUAUGUUCAGUCCCUCAAAGGUAGACUCUGUGUCUCCUCUGUGCCAGACAGUCAAAGUCAGCAGACACACAAAGGUGAAUUCAAC